UGGGGAAUAUUGCACAAUGGGGGAAACCCUGAUGCAGCGACGCCGCGUGAAGGAUGAAGUAUUUCGGUAUGUAAACUUCUAUCAGCAGGGAAGAAAAUGACGGUACCUGACUAAGAAGCCCCGGCUAACUACGUGCC
rnacentral:rRNA from 1 species